rnacentral:rRNA from 1 species
AGUGAACGCUGGCGGCAUGCCUAACACAUGCAAGUCGAACGGAAGGACAGUAAGAUUUCGUCUCUACGGUUGGCGAGGGGCGGAUGGGUGAGGCAUACAUCGGAUUCUUCUUUUACGGGGGUGACAUCGUAGGGACACAUAUACUACUACCUCAUACUUUCUACCGGAUAAUUCAAAAGAUCAUCACAGUUUUGCCGUCACUUAUAGCUGGCGUCGGACUAGCUAGUUGGCGAGGUAACGGCACACCAAGGCAACGAUGCGUAGCAGAUCUGAGAGGAUGAUCGGCCACACUGGAACUGAGACACGGUCCAGACUCCUACGGGAGGCAGCAGUAGGGAAUAUUGGGCAAUGGGCGCAAGCCUGACGGAGCCACGCCGCGUGAGUGAUGAAGGUCUUCGGAUUGUAAAGCUCUGUUAUUAGGGAAGAAAAGCAGUGGGUGUAUCCGUGGAUGUCCUGACGGUACCUAAUGAGAAAGCACCGGCUAACUUCGUG